UCUGACCUCAAAUCAGGUAGGACUACCCGCUGAACUUAAGCAUAUCAAUAAGCGGAGGAAAAGAAACUAACAAGGAUUCCCCUAGUAACUGCGAGUGAAGCGGGAAAAGCUCAAAUUUGAAAUCUGGCAGUCUUUUUUUUCUUCUUUGGCUGUCCGAGUUGUAAUCUAGAGAAGUGCUUACCUGCACUGGACCAUGUAUAAGUCUCCUGGAAUGGAGCGUCGCAGAGGGUGAGAAUCCCGUCUUUGACAUGGACUGCCAGUGUGUUGUGGUGUGCUCUCAAAGAGUCGAGUUGUUUGGGAAUGCAGCUCUAAAUGGGUGGUAAACUCCAUCUAAAGCUAAAUAUUGGCGAGAGACCGAUAGUGAACAAGUACCGUGAGGGAAAGAUGAAAAGGACUUUGGAAAGAGAGUUAAACAGUAUGUGAAAUUGUUGAAAGGGAAACGCUUGAAGUCAGUUAUGUUGGCUAGGGAUCAACCUAGCUACUUUUGCUGGGUGAAUUUCCUAGUCUUACAGGCCAACAUCAGUCUUGACUGCUAGAAAAGAGCAGAGGGAAUGUGGCACCUUUGGGUGUGUUAUAGCCCUUUGUCAUAUGUGGCAGUCGGGACUGAGGGAUGCAGCAUGCCGCGAGGCUGGGUUUCUGACCACGUUCAUGCUUAGGAUGUUGGCUUUUAAUGGCUUCAAUCGACCCGUCUUGAAACACGGACCAAGGAGUCUAACAUGCCUGCGAGUGUUUGGGUGGGGAAAACCCUUGUGCACAAUGAAAGUGAAAGUUGAGAUCCCUGUCAUGGGGAGCAUCGACGCCCGGACUUGAGCUUUUAGCAACGGAUCCGCGGUAGAGCAUGCAUGUUGGGACCCGAAAGAUGGUGAACUAUGCCUGAAUAGGGCAAAGCCAGAGGAAACUCUGGUGGAGGCUCGUAGCGAUUCUGACGUGCAAAUCGAUCGUCAAAUUUGGGUAUAGGGGCGAAAGACUAAUCGAACCAUCUAGUAGCUGGUUCCUGCCGAAGUUUCCCUCAGGAUAGCAGAAGCUCAUUAUCAGAUUUAUGUGGUAAAGCGAAUGAUUAGAGGCCUUGGGGUUGAAACAACCUUAACCUAUUCUCAAACUUUAAAUAUGUAAGAACGAGUUGUCACUUGACUGGACUGCUC
rnacentral:rRNA from 1 species